rnacentral:rRNA from 1 species
GAUGAACGCUGGCGGCGUGCCUAAUACAUGCAAGUCGAGCGGACGGACGAGAAGCUUGCUUCUCUGAUGUUAGCGGCGGACGGGUGAGUAACACGUGGAUAACCUACCUAUAAGACUGGGAUAACUUCGGGAAACCGGAGCUAAUACCGGAUAAUAUUUUGAACCGCAUGGUUCAAAAGUGAAAGACGGUCUUGCUGUCACUUAUAGAUGGAUCCGCGCUGCAUUAGCUAGUUGGUAAGGUAACGGCUUACCAAGGCAACGAUGCAUAGCCGACCUGAGAGGGUGAUCGGCCACACUGGAACUGAGACACGGUCCAGACUCCUACGGGAGGCAGCAGUAGGGAAUCUUCCGCAAUGGGCGAAAGCCUGACGGAGCAACGCCGCGUGAGUGGUGAAGGUCUUCGGAUCGUAAAACUCUGUUAUUAGGGAAGAACAUAUGUGUAAGUAACUGUGCACAUCUUGACGGUACCUAAUCAGAAAGCCACGGCUAACUACGUG